rnacentral:misc_RNA from 1 species
GCGGCUCGAGUUUGCGCAGAACGUGUCAACAAAUGUUCCCGGGAACCGAUGACACUGAUAUACAUGUACAUACUAUAAUUAUAAAUCGAUCGAUAACUUUACUGUGUGAUAUAACUGUCGAACUUUUCGUCAGUGUUUUCUAUCCAAGGUCGUGAUUCCUUAUUCAAAUGGGUUUGUGAUACAUCACGCUCCAGUGACGCUCGGUUGGAUAUAGGCUACGAUUUAGUGUGACUUUAACCCACAACUGACUGGGAAAGGUACGUGGUAGGCCUACUAGUGCAAUACUGUCCAGGUGUCCCGAGACUGUGUGACCUAGGAAUGUACCUGCACACAACUAAUACGGAAACCAGGUACGUGUAUGCUCAUGCCAUGACUUGUCGGUGUGAUCAUGACGAUAAGCCAUGGUCGUUUCACGGAUCACAGAGCUCGAGUAUGUAUUUUAGAUAACACAGGCUAAUGAAUCUGGGGGUUAAAUCUCUUAACAUUUAGGCUUAUUUAAUUUACCGUGGAUUAUGUACACACAUCCAUUAGGCCUAGAG